UUGGAGGGCAAGUCUGGUGCCAGCAGCCGCGGUAAUUCCAGCUCCAAUAGCGUAUAUUAAAGUUGUUGCAGUUAAAAAGCUCGUAGUUGAAUUUCGGGACCAAUUUGUUGGUCGUGCCUCGGUACGUACUGGUAUUAUUGGUUCCUCCCUUCUGAAGAACCUUGAUGUCAUUAAUUUGGUGUCUUGGGGAAUCAGGACUGUUACUUUGGAAAAAUUAGAGUGUUUAAAGCAGGCAUACGCUUGAAUACAUUAGCAUGGAAUAAUGAAAUAGGACGUUUGAUUCUAUUUUGUUGGUUUCUAGGAUCGACGUAAUGAUUAAUAGGGAUAGUUGGGGGCAUUAGUAUUCAAUUGUCAGAGGUGAAAUUCUUGGAUUUAUUGAAGACUAACUACUGCGAAAGCAUUUGCCAAGGAUGUUUUCAUUAAUCAAGAACGAAAGUUAGGGGAUCGAAGACGAUCAGAUACCGUCGUAGUCUUAACCAUAAACUAUGCCGACUAGGGAUCGGAUGAUGUUAUUUUUAAUGACUCAUUCGGCGCCUUACGGGAAAC
rnacentral:rRNA from 1 species